rnacentral:rRNA from 1 species
UACGUAGGGUGCAAGCGUUGUCCGGAAUUAUUGGGCGUAAAGAGCUCGUAGGCGGUCUGUCACGUCGGCUGUGAAAACCCGAGGCUCAACCUCGGGCCUGCAGUCGAUACGGGUCGCUGGGGUCCGGCAGGGGAGACUGGAAUUCCUGGUGUAGCGGUGGAAUGCGCAGAUAUCAGGAGGAACACCGGUGGCGAAGGCGGGUCCUCGUGGGCCGAUACUGACGCUGAGGAGCGAAAGCAUGGGUAGCGAACAGG